rnacentral:lncRNA from 1 species
GGGAAUCUCAUCAUCACCACUGUCGUUGUAUUAGUAGAACGAGAAAUAAGAGGAGAAGGGAAUCGCCACACAACUCUGGUGUCGUCGUUGGUCAGAAAGCUUAUUGGAGGAGGCCGGAUGGUGGCCUAGCAAUGGUGUAGAAGCAAGGAAGCUAAGGCAAGAAAAAGAAAAAGAAGAAAAGAAAAAGGAAAGGAAAAGAGGGAAAAUGAAAAAGAAAAUAAAAAUGAGGUAUAAAUAACCAUCCAUGUAGCAUCGCACGAUUGGCCAG